rfam:Gammaproteobacteria bacterium SG8_31 WOR_8-12_6428, whole genome shotgun sequence.
UGCCGGUCCUCCCGCGACGGCUAACCGUGAACCCCGUCAGGCCCGGAAGGGAGCAGCGGUAGCGGCGAAGCCGGGUGCCGGGACAAGGCUGGUACGG